UCCGGUUGAUCCCGCCGGAGGUUACUGCUAUCGAGGUUCGACUAAGCCAUGCGAGUCGAAUGUAGCAAUACAUGGCGUACUGCUCAGUAACACGUGGAUAACCUACCCUUGAGAUGGGGAUAAACCCGGGAAACUGGGUAUAAUACCCAAUAGAUCUCGACUGCUGGAAUGCAUCGAGCUCCAAAGCUCCGGCGCUCAAGGAUGGAUCUGCGGCCUAUCAGGUAGUAGUGGGUGUAGCGUACCUACUAGCCUACGACGGGUACGGGUUGUGAGAGCAAGAGCCCGGAGAUGGAUUCUGAGACACGAAUCCAGGCCCUACGGGGUGCAGCAGGCGCGAAAACUUUACAAUGCUGGAAACAGCGAUAAGGGGACCUCGAGUGCCAGGUUACAAAUCUGGCUGUCGUGAUGCCUAAAAAGCAUUGCAUAGCAAGGGCCGGGCAAGACCGGUGCCAGCCGCCGCGGUAACACCGGCGGCUCGAGUGGUAACCGUUAUUAUUGGGUCUAAAGGGUCUGUAGCCGGCCGGAUAAGUCUCUUGGGAAAUCUGGCAGCUUAACUGUCAGGCUUUCAGGAGAUACUGUCUGGCUCGAGGCCGGGAGAGGUGAGAGGUACUUCAGGGGUAGGGGUGAAAUCUUGUAAUCCUUGAAGGACCACCAGUGGCGAAGGCGUCUCACCAGAACGGACCUGACGGCAAGGGACGAAAGCUAGGGGCACGAACCGGAUUAGAUACCCGGGUAGUCCUAGCCGUAAACGAUACUCGCUAGGUGUCGGCAACGGUGCGACCGUUGUCGGUGCCGUAGGGAAGCCGUGAAGCGAGCCACCUGGGAAGUACGGCCGCAAGGCUGAAACUUAAAGGAAUUGGCGGGGGAGCACCACAACGGGUGGAGCUUGCGGUUUAAUUGGAUUCAACGCCGGAA
rnacentral:rRNA from 1 species